GACCUGAUAGCGGAAUCGGCAUCGCGUCUACUAUGUACACCUAAAAGGAGAACUCGGCGUAAUGAAUGGAAGUCCCUCGUUCGAAUCCAGGUUAGGUCC